ACAAGGACGAUCUCCCAAGACGGUGCCUCUCGGGAGGACUUUCUGUGAAAAACUGCUGGCCCUUACUUAAUAUUAGAUACGUAGGAGAGCCAAUAUAAUCAGAGAGGUGAUAAUGUUAUGUUAAAUCCUAUUGGUCCUAUUGGCUAACUGCCGACCUUGGCUACUGGACGCCAUUAACAGUACAUAGUUUGCACGUGGUUUACUUACCGUUUUUUUUGCAUUUGUUUUACGCUAUUUUUUAUUGCAUUUUCUAUUAAUUCAAUUUAAUGUUUCAAUUUAAGGAGCCCAAAAAUAAAAUCUUUCACAGGGCAGAUGAAAAACUAGUUGCGAUACUGAUGUUGGUUCCUAUCCCUCACCACCCGGCCACCCCAUUGUGGCUUGGUCGAACCCACGAUAGAUGUAAACGGAUACGUAACCAAAAAUUCAUACAAAACCAAAUAGCUUGACUCCGAAAGGAAAGGAACUUUAAACGUAGCGAUUCGUUAUUCAUAGAGGAAGGAUUAAGAUCACUUUUAAGAUUACAGAAAGAAAUUAGGUGGGCAGAAAACAAGAAGAGAAGUAUGAUAAGAUUAUACUGUGUAGUGCGUAAUUUGGAGGCAUCGUAUUAAGUGUGAAGUGGAACACAGGUUUGUCCCAAAUUUGACAUCUGGUCACAGUACAUUGCCAAAAUGUUUUGCCAACAAAUGUAGUUGAUAGUUUUUAAGGCAAUAGAAAUAAAAUUUCUACGUUAACGAAAGAAGCUGUGUUCGGACAUACGUCUAAGAAUCUAUCUUCGA